GAAAUGGUGGCCACCCAGUAACUCCACAGUAUGUCCCCAGAUGGUUCUUAAAAGGGCCAGCAGCAGCACAACACAAAUCCAUUAUGCCCAAAUCAUGUCUUUAAAGGGCAAUACAUCCCAGGGGCCAUAGUCACAGGGCAAGAGGCGGGCAAGCAGUCCUCUCCAGGCACAAGUGGCGAAGGGCACUUCGUCACAGUAAUGUUUAAAUAUAUUUUCUGUUUUAGUAUGUAUAGAUAGAACAUUAUUUAAUGAAACAAAAAAAAUUGGGUAGAAUAAAUUUUUACAGAUAAGGAAACCGUGUUGUAAAUAUAUAUACAUAUCGCAUAAUUAUUAUAUACCGUAUUUUUCAGAAUACAAGAGGCACUGGAAUAUAAGACUCACCAAUAUAUUUUAACGUUAAAAAAAAUUAAACAACUUGUGC